rnacentral:rRNA from 1 species
CAGUCGACGAACUUCUUUAUCACCGAGUGCUUGCACUCACCGAUAAAGAGUUGAGUGGCGAACGGGUGAGUAACACGUGGGCAACCUGCCCAAAAGAGGGGGAUAACACUUGGAAACAGGUGCUAAUACCGCAUAACCAUAGUUACCGCAUGGUAACUAUGUAAAAGGUGGCUAUGCUACCGCUUUUGGAUGGGCCCGCGACGCAUUAGCUAGUUGGUGGGGUAAAGGCUUACCAAGGCAAUGAUGCGUAGCCGAACUGAGAGGUUGAUCGGCCACAUUGGGACUGAGACACGGCCCAAACUCCUACGGGAGGCAGCAGUAGGGAAUCUUCCACAAUGGGCGAAAGCCUGAUGGAGCAACGCCGCGUGGGUGAAGAAGGUCUUCGGAUCGUAAAACCCUGUUGUUAGAGAAGAAAGUGCGUGAGAGUAACUGUUCACGUUUCGACGGUAUCUAACCAGAAAGCCACGGCUAACUACGUGCCAGCAGCCGCGGUAAUACGUAGGUGGCAAGCGUUAUCCGGAUUUAUUGGGCGUAAAGAGAACGCAGGCGGUCUUUUAAGUCUGAUGUGAAAGCCUUCGGCUUAACCGGAGUAGUGCAUUGGAAACUGGGAGACUUGAGUGCAGAAGAGGAGAGUGGAACUCCAUGUGUAGCGGUGAAAUGCGUAGAUAUAUGGAAGAACACCAGUGGCGAAAGCGGCUCUCUGGUCUGUAACUGACGCUGAGGUUCGAAAGCGUGGGUAGCAAACAGGAUUAGAUACCCUGGUAGUCCACGCC